rnacentral:tRNA from 1 species
AGGAUGCUAGUAUAAAUGAUAACACACGGCCUUGUCGGGACUGAAAUGUAGGUUAAAUCCCUGCGCAUCCUG